rnacentral:rRNA from 1 species
AUGUUCGUCGCGAAGCGUGGUCAGUUCGCCGGCGAGCGGUUCUACAACUACAAGUGUCGCAAUCACAAUCCGGGGAGAGGUGGAUGUGAUUUCUACAUGUGGCAGGAAGCCUACGCGGAACACCUGGCUACGCUUGGAUCGGUAGUGCAAAUCAAUGAAGGUCAGCAGGAAAUCGCAGCACCAAAUCAAGGUUGUCAGAUGCAGGCGGCGGAUGGUGGGGUGGGGCAGCAGAACGGUGCACCGGAAGCCUUGCAUUUGGCGUCGGCGGCAAGCGAAGCUGCGGGAUCUUCCCUCACUGUGGCGGCUGUUGCACAGCAUCAGGCAACCAUCGCCCUCGACCCUGCAUCGAUCAAUUUGGUGGUGUCUGUUGGCAAGUAG